rnacentral:rRNA from 1 species
ACGCACGUGUGAAACUUGAAGGAAUUGACGGAAGGGCACCACAAGAACGCGUGGAGCAUGUGGCUUAAUUUGACUCAACGCGGGAAAUCUUACCGGGUCCGGACACACUGAGGAUUGACAGGCAAUAUUAAUUAUGUAUGAUCACUUUCGGGUGUUAUUCGUAAUUAUGUUAAAUAUGCUAGUCCUUUCAUGAUUAUGUGAUAGGUGGUGCAUGGCCGUUCUUAGUUCGUGGAGUGAUCUGUCUGCUUAAUUGCGUUUCACUAAGGGCCUAUAAAUUUACGUGUGUUGCGGCACUUUGACCCCUCUGGCCUUCGUGUCAUGAGCGCGCGUCUUAGUUUGCUUUGCUCGCACAAUUAGGUCCUGAAAGCAACGAACGUGACCG